rnacentral:rRNA from 1 species
GACGAACGCUGGCGGCGUGCCUAAUACAUGCAAGUAGAACGCACAGUUUAUACCGUAGCUUGCUACACCAUAGACUGUGAGUUGCGAACGGGUGAGUAACGCGUAGGUAACCUGCCUGGGAGCGGGGGAUAACUAUUGGAAACGAUAGCUAAUACCGCAUAAUAUUAAUUAUUGCAUGAUAAUUGAUUGAAAGAUGCAAUUGCAUCACUACCAGAUGGACCUGCGUUGUAUUAGCUAGUAGGUGAGGUAACGGCUCACCUAGGCGACGAUACAUAGCCGACCUUAGAGGGUGAUCGGCCACACCGGGAACGGGACACGGCCCAGAAUCCUACGGGAGGCAGCAGUAGGGAAUCUUCGGCAAUGGACGAAAGUCUGACCGAGCAAAGCCGGGGGAGGGAAGAAGGUUUUCGGAUCGUAAAGCUCUGUUGUAAGAGAAGAACGGGUGUGAGAGUGGAAAGUUCACACUGUGACGGUAUCUUACCAGAAAGGGACGGCUAACUACGUG